UACAGAGGUCCCAAGCGUUGUUCGGAUUCACUGGGCGUAAAGGGUGCGUAGGUGGCGGGGUCAGUCUGACGUGAAAUCUCCGGGCUUAACCCGGAAAUGGCGUUGGAAACUACCUUGCUUGAGGGUUGGAGGGGGGACUGGAAUACUUGGUGUAGCAGUGAAAUGCGUAGAUAUCAAGUGGAACACCAGUGGCGAAGGCGAGUCCCUGGACAAAACCUGACACUGAGGCACGAAAGCUAGGGGAGCAAACAGG
rnacentral:rRNA from 1 species